GGGAGAAGGGGCGUGACCACUGGGGUAGGCUGCUCUGUGGCCAGGCUCGGGCAGGAGAGUGACAUCUCAGAGGACUCCUCCAGAGCCGGUUCCUGCCAUGCACCUCCUGUGCACUGUGGUUCUGGCAGUCCUGGGGGCAGGGCACAUGGAUGCUGGCGUCACCCAGUCCCCGAGGCACCAGAUCACAAGGGCAGGAGGGAACAUGACCCUACAAUGCUCCCAGGACAUGAACCACCCCUACAUGUACUGGUACCGACAGGACCCAGGACUGGGGCUGCGGCUGAUCCACUACUCUACCAUUGAUGGUGGUACCUAUGAAGGCGAUGUCCCCAACGGGUACGGUGUCUCCAGAUCUAACACGGAGCACUUCCUCCUCACGCUGGGGUCGGCCACCCCUUCCCAGACAGCUGUGUACUUCUGUGCCAGCAGUGUCUCCACAGCGCUGCAUGGCUACCUCAGCUCCUCACAAAAAGGGCUUAGGAGACACCCCAGUGACUUCAAGCUUAUCCAGGGCCAGCCGAGUCAGCCCCCGGUACCCAUGCUGCCUAAGGAUGGGGAUGCUGAGAAGUGUGGCCAGGAAGGUGGCAGACAGGGACACCUGGAUCAUGGGCUCCUCUUCUGUCGGGGAUUUGAGGUGUGA